rnacentral:lncRNA from 1 species
AAGUACUAACUAAACAUCAUACAAGUAAUAUGAUUAACUUUUAACCACAUACACGCAUUCAAUCACAAGUUACAUUUAUAUUCUUUUCAUCAGUUCUUCUCUUGAUACAUCACAUGAUAUCCAAAAUAUAACUCUUUGCAUUUAAACAUAAACUCUUUUACAUCAUUCAUAUUCUUUCCUUUAAACAUUUAUAAUUAUCAAGUACAAAAGAUGAUAUAC